rnacentral:misc_RNA from 1 species
AAGUCGUAACAAGGUUUCCGUAGGUGAACCUGCGGAAGGAUCAUUACUGGAAAUAUUCAAGGUUGUAGCUGGCCUUCCGGGGCAUGUGCUCGCCUUGUUUCAAAUCCAUCUUACACCUGUGCACACUCUGUAGUCCUUGGGUUUCUUUUGGGGUCACACCCGGAGAGAUUCUAGUUCUACGUAUUUACACAUACACUUUAAAAGUUUAGAAUGUAUUACUUGUGAUAAAACACAUUUAAAAACAACUUUCAACAACGGAUCUCUUGGCUCUC